rnacentral:misc_RNA from 1 species
GAUGAAGAACGCAGCGAAAUGCGAUACGUAAUGUGAAUUGCAGAAUUCAGUGAAUCAUCUAGUCUUUGAACGCACAUUGCGCCCCCUGGUAUUCCGGGGGGCAUGCCUGUCCGAGCGUCAUUGCUGCCCUCAAGCACGGCUUGUGUGUUGGGCCUCCGUCCUCCUCCCGGGGGACGGGCCCGAAAGGCAGCGGCGGCACCGCGUCCGGUCCUCGAGCGUAUGGGGCUUCGUCACCCGCUCUUGUAGGCCCGGCCGUCGCUUGCCGACACAUCAAUCUUUUUUCCAGGUUGACCUCGGAUCAGGUAGGGAUACCCGCUGAACUUAAGCAUAUCAAUAAGCGGAGGA